GCGCCUGUAGCUCAGUUGGAUAGAGCAUCUGCCUUCUAAGCAGGUGGUCACAGGUUCGAAUCCUGUCAGGCGCG
rnacentral:tRNA from 1 species